CCCUUAGAUGUCCUGGGCCGCACGCGCGCUACACUGAACGGAUCAGCGCGUUUUCCCUUCCCGAGAGGGACGGGUAACCUGCUGAACCCCGUUCGUGGUAGGGAUCGGGGCUUGCAAUUAUUCCCCGUGAACCAGGAAUGCCCAGUAAGUGCAAGUCAUAAGCUUGCGUUGAUUACGUCCCUGCCCUUUGUACACACCGCCCGUCGCUACUACCGAUUGGAUGGCUUAGUGAGCUCUGCAGAUUGCAGCUUGUUACCUUCGGGUGCUUGAGGCGAGAAGCAGAUCAAACUUGAUCAUCUAGAGGAAGUAAAAGUCGUAACA
rnacentral:rRNA from 1 species